CCAUCCGUUCUCCUUGCUCACAGAGGCGCUGUCGCAGCCUCGCUGACCUACUUUUUGACCUCACGAACCAGUUUGCUCUGUACAUGCCGAGUUACAGCACCCGUCUUCAAGGGGGCUUUGGUUUCCUGUCAGCAACAUGGCAGAGCCACACACAGAUCUUAAGUUUUUGGAGCUCACAUUGUGCCUGUGGUGGGAGGCAACGCACCCUCGUCACCGCGUUGGUGUCUGAAUUGAAGGUUACAGUCGUCUGCGGUUGGCUGCGUGAAGGAAAAGUGUGCAGAAGCCUACCAGACCUGCACAUCCGCAAAAAGCCCUGCCACAGGCAAUGUUUGAGAAGUCCGUUGAACUGGGAGCUCAGUCAGCCCGCUGCUUUGCCUGACUACCUGCUGUGGCAGAUCUGUGAGCACUUGAAAGGUCCCUAGCUUCAAAUCCAAGGGCUAGUCCAAGGUGGGGAUGCAGUAAAGCGUAAGUAAACAGCUGUCGCUGUGUUGGGAAAUUCGGAGAGCUUUUGCCUGCUUGUCCAGUCGGUUAAGUGACUCAUCUGGUAAACGUUUUCAGUCUGAACUAAAUGUGC